CAGGCACCUAUGAGCAAAACCAGGUGUGGAUGUCUCAUGCAGCUUAGAACCUCAACCUACAUUACAAAUUUAUUUAAUACAAAUGAAAGGAAGGAAGAAGGACAGAUAAGUUCUGCCACUAUAAACACAUGAAGGUAAGACCAUACUCUUUAUCUCCCCUCUAUUUGGCUAGAGAAAUUGCUGUGGACAUCAUAUUUGUUGGUUUUCUAGGUGGCAGGGCUUUUAAAGGCUUUUAUAAGUCAUUACCAUCUUAAAUUAUAAGACUAUGAACAAGUUUAAAAGAAGCUAUAAAAGGAACAUUUCUAUAAAUUUAAAAUGAAAUUAACUCAACAUUCUUUGCUAGUCCUUACUCAUUUCAGAUAUUACAUUCAGCUAUCAUUAUAAUGUCAAAUGAUGCCCACCUCAUUCAUUUCUGGCACUUUUUUUUAUUUCUUAUUGUGAUAUAUAGAAGCUGUGGUUUUAAAUAUACUGCAAUUGACAGAUUACCUAUAAUGCAGCUUUGAGUUUUACUAUAAGAGAUGAUUCAAACUUCUUCACCAAGAAAAGAGAUACCCAAUGUUUUGGGACACCGUAACAUUCAAUGAAGUUUAAUUGUUCUU
rnacentral:lncRNA from 1 species